rnacentral:rRNA from 1 species
UACGAAGGGGGCUAGCGUUGCUCGGAAUUACUGGGCGUAAAGCGCACGUAGGCGGAUUGUUAAGUCGAGGGUGAAAUCCUGGAGCUCAACUCCAGAACUGCCUUCGAUACUGGCGAUCUCGAGUUCGGGAGAGGUGAGUGGAACUGCGAGUGUAGAGGUGAAAUUCGUAGAUAUUCGCAAGAACACCAGUGGCGAAGGCGGCUCACUGGCCCGAUACUGACGCUGAGGUGCGAAAGCGUGGGGAGCGAACCGG